rnacentral:lncRNA from 10 species
UCCAAGAUGAGGUAGUCUCAGAUGGAAAUGAAGAACUUGUUGGGAACUGGAGCAAAGGUGACUCUUGUUAUGUUUUAGCAAAGAGACUGGAGGCAUUUUGCCCCUGCCCUAGAGAUCUGUGGAACUUUGAAAUUGAGAGAUAUAAUUUAGGGUAUCUGGCAGAAGAAAUUUCUAAGCAGCAAAGCAUUCAAGAUGUGACAUGGGUGCUGUUAUAGGCAUUCAGUUUUACAAGGGAAGCAGAGCAUAAAAGUUCAGAAAAUGUGCGGCCUGGCAAUGUAAUAGAAAACAAAAUCUCACUUUCUAAGGAUAAAUUCAAGCUGGCUGCAGAAAUUUACAUAAGUAACUAGGAAAUGAAUAUUAAUCCCAAAGAGAAAGGGGAAAUUGUCUCCAGGGCAUGUCAGAGGCCUUCACAGCAGCCCCUCCCAUCGUAGGCCUGGAGGCCUAGGAAGAAAAAGUGGUUUCAUGGGCCAGGCUUAGGGUCCUUUGCUGUAUGUAGCCUAGGGACUUGGUACCCUGCAACCCAGUGGUUCCAGCUGUGACCGAAAGGGGCCAAUGUAGAGCUCAGGCCAUGGCUUCACGGGGUGCAAGCCUUAAGCCUUAGCAGUUUCCACAUGAUAUUGAGCCUGGGAGUGCACAGAAGUCAAGAAUUGAGGUUUGAGAACCUCUGCCUAGAUUGCAGUGGAUGUAUGGAAAUACCUGGAUGUCCAGGCAGAUGUUUGCUGCAGAGAUGGGGCCCUCAUGGAGAACCUCUGCUAGGGCAGUGCAGAAGGGAAAUGUGGGGUUGGAGCCCCCACAUAGAGUCCCUACUGGGGCACCACCUAGUGGAGCUGUGAGAAGAGUGUCACCAACCUCCAGACCCUAGAAUGGUAGAUCCACUGACAACCUGCACCAUGUGCCUAAAAAAGCUGCAGACUCUCAAUGCCAGCCUGGUAAAGCAGAAAGCAGCCAGGAGGGAGGCUGUACUCUGCAAUGCAACAGCGGCAGGGCUGCCCAAGACCAUGAGAACCCACCUCUUGCAUCAGCAUGACCUGGAUGUGAGACAUGGAGUCAAAGGAGAUCAUUUUGGAGCUUUAAGAUUUAACUGCCCUGCUGGAUUGCAGAUUUGCAUGGGGCCUGUAGCCCCUUUCAUUUUGGCCAGUUUCUUCCAUUGGAAAUGCUGUGUUUACCCAAUGCCUGUAUCCCCAUUGGAUUUAGGAAAUAACUAACUUGCUUUUGAUUUUACAUGCUCAUAGGCAGAAGGGAGUUGCCUUGUCUUGGAAGAUACUUUGGACUGAGAACUUUUGAGUUAAUGCUGAAAUGAGUUAAGACUUCAGGGAAUGUUAAAAAGACAUGAAUGGUUUUGAAAUGUGGGGACAUGAGAUAUGGGAGGGGCUUGAGUGGAAUGAUAUGGUUUGGCUUGUCCCCACUCAAAUCUCAUCUUAAAUUUCCUUGUGUUGUAGGACAGACCCAGUGGGAGGUAAUUGAAUCAUGGGGCAGGUCUUUCAAGUGCUGUUUUCAUGAUAGUGAGUAAGUCUCACAAGAUCUGAUAGUUUUAAAAAUGGGAAUUUCCCUGAACAAGCUCUCUCUCUUCUCUUUUCUGCUGCCAUGUGAGAUGUGCCUUUCACUUUCCACCAUGAUUUUGAUGUCUCCCCAGCCACAUGGAACUUCACUACUAUGGCAAGAUCAAGACUGGAUCUAGGAGAUCUCGGUUCAAUAUGGAGAUUAUCCAGAGAUUCUACUGUUGGAGCCAGAUGCUAUAACUGAAGAGGGUUAAAACUGUCUCCUUUUGGGACACCGAAACAUAGAAGCCUGCCCGGGAAGAGCAGGGUAGAACUUAUAUUCUCUUUGUUCAGCUUCCCAGAGGAAUAAGAAGGCCAGAGUGAAGCCAGGAUAGGAAGAAACAUGAAGCGAUGAAACAUACUGAACAAUUCCAUGUUUAUGGAAAAAAAUUCUGGUAAUGAACUUACUUCACACCAAAGAGACAAGGAGUAGCAUCAUUACCUCAAGCAAUAUUGCCAGAGAAAAUCUUGACACAGAGAAGACAAGCUCAGUGCUUAAUGUGAAAAUUUAUCUGCACAUACAGAACCAGUCCAUAAUACAGGUAGGUGUAUUCAGAGAAGGGCUGGGGGAUACAAAUGGUACACCAUCAAAAUUUGCUGUGAUCGUUUGAGAAGUGUCUGUUCAUGUCUUUUGCCCACUUUUUAGUGAGGUUAUUGGUUUUUUGCUUGUUGAAUUGUUUAAGUUUCUAAACACAUGAAAAAAAUGCUCAGCAUCACUAAUCAUCAGAGAAAUGCAAAUAAAAGCCAAAGUGAGAUAACAUCUCACACCACUGAGAGUGAUUAUUAUUAAAAAGUCAAAAAACAACAGGUGCUGGUGAGGCUACAGAGGAAAGGGAAUGCUUAUAUACUGUUAAUGGGAAUGUAAUUUAGUUUAGCACCUGUGGAAAUCAGUUUGGAGAUUUCUCAAAGAACAUAAAAGAGAAAUAUCAUUCUACCCAGCAAUUCCAUUACUGGUUAUAUAUACAAAAGAAAAUAAAUUCUUAUCAAAAGGACACAUGUACUUGUGUGUUUAUCUCAGCACUGUUCACCAUGGUGAAGACAUGGAAUCAACCAAGGUGAUUAUCAAAAGGGAAGAGGAAUGGAUUAAAAAAUAUAUGGUAGAUAUAGACCAUGGAAUCCUAUGCUGCCGUAAAAGAGAACAAAAUCAUGUCCUUUGAGGCAACAGCAUGGAUGCAGCUGGAAGCCGUUAUCCUAAGUGAAUUAACAGAGGAACAGUAAACCAAACACCACACGGUCUUACUUAAAAGUGGGAGCUAAACAUUGGGUACUCAUGGACAUAAAGAUGCCUCAAUAGAUUACGAGGACAAACAGGAUUAAAAAACAUGCGUACUAUCCUCACCAUGUGGGACACAGGAUCAUUUUUACCCCAAACCUCAACAUCAUGCAAUAUACCCAUGUAACAAGCCUGUACAUGUACCUCCUGAAUCUACAAAAAAAAUGACUUUUUUUUUAAGAAUUUGCUGCAAUCUUGGAAAAAUUCUUCUUCAAAGUCUUCUAAAAGCAUUUUAACUUUUUAUUUACAUUUGGAAAUUCAAGCCAUCUAAAAUGAAAUCUAGCAUAUGGUCUGACAUAGGUGCCAACAUUAUUUUUAUAUACAUAUCCAGUUAAGGUGGCAUUAUUUAUUGAGAAGAUGAAGCUUCCUCUAUGGCUCUACAGUUUCUCCUUUGUCAUAGAUUAGUUUUCUCCAUUUUUGUGGGUUUGUUUGUAAACCCUGUAUUCUGUUCCACUGGUCUAUUUAUCAAUCCUUGUUUCAAUCCACACUGUUUAUAGUAAAGUGUUAUAAGAUGAUUUUUAGCUAUUAGUAUAAAAUUGCUGAUUUGCAAUUAUUCGAGACUGACUUUAUUAUUUCCUGCUUUGCAUUUCUACAUAUCUUUUAGAAUCAGCUUGUCAUUUCCCAUCCCCUUCAAAAAACACUACCAUUUUUAUUGGGAUUAUGUUGCAUCUAUAUAUACGAGAGAAUUGUCUUCUAAUUCAUAAAUAUAGCAUAUCCCAAUUUAUUUUAUUUGUUCUAAUAUCUCUUAACAAUGGUUUAUUUUCUACUUGAAGUUUCCACAGCCUUCAUUAGAUCCAUGCCAUUAUAAAUGGUAUCAUUAAAAACAAACAAACAAAAAAUUUACUUUCCGUUUGUUGCUAGUAUAUGUAACUACAAUUUAUUUUUAUACUAGCUUCAUGUCCAGUCCAGUGAUCAUCUCAAUUAACUAAUCCCAAUAAUUUGAGGUAUAUAUUUUUUUGAAUUUUCUAUGAAAAAAAAUCAUGUCUGCACAUAAGUUGAUUUUUAUUUCUGCAAUAUAAUUAUUUGGCUUAUUGUACUGGCUAGGCUUUGCCAGAUAAUUAUUAAUGGGUCAUAGGAGAUAUCCUUAUCUCAUUACAGAAGUCAUACAUCUUUCAUUAUUUCAUCAUUAAAUCUGAUAAUUCUUUCCAUUUUUAAAAUAAAUGCCUUGUUUCAGACUAAGAAAACUCUAUUUUAUUUCUAGUUUUCUGUUAUUUAAUAUUACAAAUGGGAUUUGAGAUGAUUAUUAUAAUUCUCUUUUUUGUUAAUUUAGAAAAUUGUAUUAAUUGAUCUAAAAAUUUUAAGCCACCCCUGAAGUCCUGAAAUAAAUUCAUUUUUAAAAUUUAUACAUUGUAUUUUAUUAAUUGAUAAUUUUUCUUGAUAAUAUUUUGUUUAUCAUUGUACUUAGUGAUGAAAUAAUUAUUUUUUAGGAUGUUGGUAUCAAGGUUAUGCUGGACUCAUAAAAAGAAUGUGGCAUAUUCUCAGUUUAUAAAAGUGGCUAUUUAGGACUGGUAUAAUUUAUUAUUUGUUUAAAGGUUUGAGUACAGAGUUUCUUCUGGAUAUGGAGUUUUAUCCAGAUAAUUAUUUUAAUUAGAUUCAAUUCUAAUAGGUUUUUAAAUUCAAUUCUAAUUAGAUUUUUUAUUUCUUCUAUCAGUUUUGAAAAUCUGUUUUUCUAAGAAUUUUAUUUAUUUUUUUCUAUUUAUUGGCAUAAAUUUGUUUAUAAUAUUCUGAUUUUUUUGAUUAUGUAUUCCCACAAUCACCCUGUGAAAUAAACUACCUUAAGAUUUACUGGCUU